AGUUUCUGGGAGACUCAGUUGGACGCUAUGACUAGACACGGUUUGCGACUGGAAAUAAAAUGCACCGAUAGCCAUGAAUACAGAGUGUCCAUGAGGUCAAUCACAGUGACGCACUGCUCACCCACUUCAGAAUCUUUGGGUGCAAAAUCUCUAUUGUUUGUCAGGUGGCGCAGAAGAGGACCCAGAGCAGCAGCAGCUUCUCCUUAGACAUCGAGGUGGGAUGAACUUCUGGCCACUCGAUCCUGAACACAUCCUAAGGGUGCAGUGACAAGCUGAUCGGACUGGCAAUUUUGGUGAGAAAAACACAGAGCAUCUUCAGCUGCUAACGAGCAAACUCCUUGCAAAGACAGUUAGUGGUUUUCCUCAGUUUCUCCAAGCAGCAAGCCUUCUCCGAGCAGCCUCCCUCGUGGGAAAGUCCAACCGGGCCCCCGUUGUCACCAGCUGAUGGGUCGGGCUGCCUCAUCCUGGGGUGGGCCCUAUUAGCAGGUGCUUUUCCUUCUUAUGCCCAGUGGUGUCUUUGAAAAGCGAUAUUUUGAUCAUUUUCCUUUCUCAUCUUGGUCAACAAUCAGAGAAGGAAAAAGAUGCUAUUGAUUGCGUCCCCUCAAAGAUGGCAGUGAUGACCCGAGGUUCUUUGCAGCCUCCUGAAUUGUUGGGGUCACACGGUGAAAACUAUACCUACUAAUGGUCACAUUAAAAACCACUGUUGUUCUAUAAACA